UGCGGCAGGUAUCCCCAACCAUUGGUGCUAGAACAACGCGCGGUGCGAACCCUCCGGCGCGGGGGGGGAAAGGGGGAAGGAAAACUCAACCCCCUCCCCCCGCCGCCCUCUCCAACGGGUUCUUUGCAAAUAUCCUUUUAAUUUUAACGGAGGGGGGGGGCAGGUUUCUCAUUUUGCUCCCAGGAGAUCCGUCUCGCGGGCGGCCCUCCCGGCUCGGUGCUCCCGGAGGCUCCCGCAGCCUCCCGGGUCCUGUCCCCCACCCCCCCCGUCCCCGGCCGUACCCCGGCGUCGGGUGCAAAACCCCCCCGAGGUGCUUCAAUCGCUGGGGUUACGCCGGCACGCGCUUUGCGGGCUCUCUACGGUGUGUUUUUAAGUGAAAUCUUCUACUCACACGGUGCUACGGUGCUUUAACGCAGCUGUCUCGCGUUUCGCCUGAUUCCAUCUCGCCGAGGUGCUACUAAUCCACAUAGGAACCCAGGGAACCAAGAGAAAACGGCGUUUGCUUUGCCAUAGCGGCAGCUCUUCCGUCCCGGGCCGAGGGGACGCCGGCGGGGGUGGUGGUAUCCCCCCCCCCCCUUGCGCCGGCUGGUGCAGCCCCGCCGGGACGGGUGCAGGGAGCUCGUCGUUCUUAUGCAAACGGGAAUUGGUGCUGCGCCGAAGCGCUCGGGUCGCCGCCGCCGGCAGCGGCUUUUCCCCGUUUUGUUUGCUGCCGGCAGGGUGUGCGUGCACGGUGUGCGACGUGGUGCAUGCACACUGUGCGUAGGCACGGUAUAUGGGCACGGUGUGCAUGCACAGUGUACGAUGUGGUGCAUGCACACCGUGCAUAGGCAGGGUGCACGGGCACGGUGUGCGUGCGCGGUGCACGCACACCGUGCAUAGGCAGGGUGCACAGGCACGGUGUGCGUGCGCGGUGUGCGGCACGGUGCGUGUGCACGGUGCAGGGGCACAGCGUGUGACAUGGUGUGCGUGCACGGUGCCCUGUGCACCGUGCACGGGCACGGUGCGUGGCAUGGUGUGUGUGCACGAUGCACAGGGUUCAUGCACAGUGCACGGGCACGGUGUGUUACAGGGUGUGCGUGCGCGGUGGGUGUGCACGGUGCACAGGCAAGGUAUACUGGCACGGUGUGUGUGCACAGUGUGUGUGCGUGAUGCAUGCGUGCAGUGCUCGUGCACGGUGCCCGGGCACCGUGCAUGCAUAGUGUGCAUGCACAAUGCAUGCACACGGGGCUCAUGCACGGUGCCUGGGCACUGUGCAUGCAUGGUGUGCAUGCACGGUGCAUGUGCCCAGUGCUCAUGCACGUGCCCAGGCAGUGUGCGUGCACGGUGCAUGUGCACAGUGCUCGUGCAUGGCGUGUGUGCACGGUGCAUGCACACAGUGCUCGUGCACGGUGCACCGGCACUGUGUAUGCAUGGUGUGCAUGCACGGUGCAUGCAUGCAGUGCUCGUGCACGGUGCACCAGCAAUGUGCAUGCACGGUGUGCGUGCAUGGUGCAUGCGUGCAGUGCUCGUGCACAGUGCUCGGGCACUGUGCGUGCAUGGUGUGCGUGCACGGUGCAUGGGCACAGUGUGCAGCGCCUUGCAUGGGCCCGGUGCGCAGGCCCGGUGCCCACCGCAGCGCCCACCAUGCCGCCCCGUGGGUGCCCCGCGCCCCCCCCCAGCCGCAGGGCUCGGGUCCACCUUUCGCCCUUCUUUUUUUUUUUAAUUUCUCCUUUUUCCUCCCUUUCCGUGGAUUUAUCGGUGCUACUUUCCCUUCGGGGUCCCUGCGAUCGGAAGCUAUCGGCGCGCCAGAGCCCCGCACAGCGGCAGCGGCGGCGCCAGCAAAAAAAGCAAAUACCUCAAAAUAACAAAAAAAGAAAAAUCCCACCCCGAAUCCCAUAGGAUAAAAGCAGAGCAUCGCGGCGCCGA
ensembl:lncRNA